CUGGUUCAGCAGGUCUGGGUGGGACCUGAGAUUCUGCAUUUCUAACAAGUUUCCACCUCAAGCUGCUGCUCCACCAGCCACA
rnacentral:miRNA from 1 species